CCUACGGGUGGCAGCAGUAGGGAAUCUUCCACAAUGGACGAAAGUCUGAUGGAGCAACGCCGCGUGAGUGAAGAAGGGUUUCGGCUCGUAAAGCUCUGUUGGUAGUGAAGAAAGAUAGAGGUAGUAACUGGUCUUGAGUGGACGGUAAGUACAGAGAAAGGCAAGGCUAACGACGUGCCAGCAGCCGCGGUAAUACGUAGGUGGCAAGCGUUGUCCGGAUUUAUUGGGCGUAAAGCGAGUGCAGGCGGUUCAAUAAGUCUGAGGUGAAAGCCUUCGGCUCAACCGGAGAAUUGCAUCAGAAACUGUUGAACUUGAGUGCAGAAGCGGCGAGUGGAACUCCAUGUGUCGCGGU
rnacentral:rRNA from 1 species